rnacentral:lncRNA from 1 species
AGACGAAGCUUUAUACAAGAGAUUUCCUACAAUCAUGCUAAUUUCCUAUAAUCAUGCUAAUCUAUUCUAAGUAUAAAAGGCAACUGAAUAAAUAUACAAUUAAUACAAUAUAUUUGCCAAUGAAUGGUCAGAUAUCAUUGACCUUUCCUUCUUAACAGCCCUAGCAGUAACCAUAUUUAGCUAUAAAAAAAACCUUAGAGACCGUCCUUUGGUCUUGGUCCAGAUGAUAUCUUCAAUUCCAAGAAACAAAACUCCCUCGGUUGGUCUGGAUUCCCUUACAGGAACUUGGGAAGCAUUCCGACAACAUGGAGAUGACAGUUGUUCAGUUAUACUAUUAUUUGUCACCUUGUUUUUUUAUUUUUAUUUUCAGCAAGCUUAACGUCUUUUCCAGUUCACUAACAUGUCUAGGAUGAUAUACUGGUAUUAGACAAUUCGAUAUAUCCGAAAUGACCUUCACAUUGUUCGGGUUCGAUGCAAUACUAAUUUCCUGUCUCAUAGCCAACCCAAACAUGAUACCCAACAUUCCAAAAGUGCACGAAACAGAGGAAGUGAAGAAAAACAGAGCAUAUACAAACGAAAAAGAUACGAUUGAACUCGGCUCCAUUUCAUAACGAUCAAUGGGCUGGAUACAGGUGCCAUUGGAAGGAAGCAAAAAAAAAUAUGAUUUUGAUACAUCAAGCUCAGGGGAGAAAACAAAGCAUCAGGCAUUGACAAGAAAGAUAGAAAAAAAAAAACACCAGAAACAAAACCAAAACAGAGCAUGCAUACAAAGGAUAGAUCCCUCAAAGCAAACAAGUGGCCUAGUAGUCAUACCUGGAUGUUUUCCUCAAGCCAAAAGUUUCCUGGCCACCCGCUCUGCUCUCCUCCCUUCCCUCUCCUGCUUCAGCCAAAGAACCCCUCUUUAAAAAAGAAUCCCCUCACCUCCAAAUCUCCCCUGUUUCCCUGUCUUUCUUACCAAGCCACUACCUGCUCUCAUGUGCACCAUUCCGCCAAUGCGUCAUCCUCACCCACCACCAUGGGCGAGCCGUGCUCUUGGCCACUCCUCAUCUCAAGGAAAAUUCUCUCUGAUUUGAAAGCAUUUCUCUUUCUCUCUCUCUCUCUUUCUCUCUCUCCCUCUCUCUCUUUCUCGGCUUCAUCACCCACAUAAUCCCAAGAUCCAUGUAAAAUUUCCCAAAAAUUGUCUUAUUUGAGAGAAAAAAACCAUUAAUCCAAAACUCUAACUUGCAUGUUUCUUUCUUGUCCACAUAAAAGUGCAACGAAAUGGAGCAUUCCAUCCUAAGAAUGUCCAGUUAAAAGACGACUUCAAGAGGCACAUCUGUGAUUGUGAAUCUACUACAGCAGCGCGUACCAAAACGGAAAGGUGGAAUCCAAAAUAUUGGCUUUGUAAACAAGAUAUCUCUUUCUAUCAUUGAGUGACAUUUUGCCCUAACCCUAAACCGAAAUCUAAAGGUAAAUUAUUUUCAUUUAUUGUUCUUUAGUGCAUUUAUUUGAAAUAGAGCACAUCAACGUUUUGGAGUUGUUUGUGGACAUGAACUUUUGUGUUGGGUUGUGGGAACCAUAUUAUUCCUAAAUAAUCAUAUGACUCACAAGUCAUAUUGAACCAAGAUGGAACUUACAACAUAUAUGGUUGUAAGUCGCAUUGUUAUUUUGCGGACUGUACCUUAGGUACUACCUUAAUAGCCCUUAGGUACCACCUUAGCCUACCUUAGGUACUACCUUAAGCCACCUUAGGCACUAUUUUAGUUAAAGUUAGGUUGUACCUAUCCAAAGCAUCGAACCUUCCUUUGUCACCCUUAGAGCAUGCCAUUAUGUGAUUCUUUUAUGUGGUCAAGUGGUUCGCCUUUGGUUUUUUGUGGACUGUACCUUAGGUGCUACCUUAAUAGUCCUUAGGUACCACCUUAUUCUACCUUAAGUACUACCUUAGUUAAAGUUGGGUUCUACAUAUCCGAAGCCUUGGACCUUCCUUUGUGACCCUUAGAUCAUGUCAUUAUGUUAUCUUUUGUGUGGGCCAGUGGUUCACCUUUGAUUUUUUAGGGACAGUACCUUAGGUACUACCUUAAUAGCCCUUAGAUACCACCUUAAUCUACCUUAGGUACUACCUUAACCGACCUUAGGUACUAUCUUAGUUAAAAUUGGGUUCUACCGAUCCGAAGCCUCUGACCUUCAUUUGUCACCCUUAGACCAUGCCUUUAUGUGAUUCUUUUGUGUGGUCAAGUGGUUCACCUUUGGUUUUUGCGGACUGUACCUUAAGUACUACCUUAAUAGCCCUUAGAUACCACUUUAAUCUACAUUAGGUACUACCUUAGUUANNNNNNNNNNNNNNNNNNNNNNNNNNNNNNNNNNNNNNNNNNNNNNNNNNNNNNNNNNNNNNNNNNNNNNNNNNNNNNNNNNNNNNNNNNNNNNNNNNNNNNNNNNNNGAACUUAGUUAAAGUUGGGUUCUACCUAUUCAAAGCCUCAGACCUUCUUUUGUGACCCUUAGACCAUGCCAUUAUUUGAUUCUUUUGUGUGGGCAAGUGGUUCACCUUUGGUUUUUUGGGGAUUGUACCUUAGGCACUACCUUAUAGCCCUUAGGUACCACCUUAACCUACUUUAGGUACUACCUUAACCAACCUUAGGUACUACUUUAGUUAAAGUUGGGUUCUACCUAUCCAAAGCCUCUGACCUUCCUUUGUGACCCUUAGACCAUGCCAUUAUUUGAUUUUUUUUGUGGGCAAGUGGUUCACUUUAGUUUUUUGGGGAUUGUACCUUAGGCACUACCUUAAUAGCCCUUAGGUACCACUUUAAUCUACCAGGUACUACCUUAACCGACCAUAAGUACUACUUUAGUUAAAGUUGGGUUCUACCUAUCCGAAGCCUCUGACCUUCCUUUGUGACCCUUAGACCAUGCCAUUAUAUGAUUCUUUUGUCUGGGCAAGUGGUUCACCUUUGGUUUUUUGGGGACUGUACCUUAUGUACUAUCUUCAUAGCCCUUAGGUACCACCUUAAUCUACCUUAGGAACUACCUUAACUGACCUUAGGUACUACCUCAGUUAAAGUUGGGUUCUACCUAUCCGAAGCCUUUGACCUUCCUUUGUGACCCUUAGACCAUGCCAUUAUGUGAUUCUUUUGUGUGGUCAAGUGGUUCACCUUUGGUUUUUUUAGGACUGUACCUUAGGUACUACCUUGAUAGCCCUUAGGUACUACCUUGAUAGCCCUAAGGUACUACCUUAAUCUACCUUAGUUACUACCUUAACCGACCUUAGGUACUACCUUAGUUAAAGUUUGGUUCUACCUAUCCGUAGCCUCUAACCUUCCUUUGUCACCCUUAGACCAUGCUAUUAUGUGAUUCUUUUGUGUGGUCAAGUGGUUCACCUUUGGUUUUUUGCGGAAUGUACCUCAAGUACUACCUUAAUAGCCCUUAGGUACCACCUUAAUCUAACUUAGGCACUCCCUUAAGGGACCUUAGGUACUACCUUAGUUAAAAUUGGGUUCUACCUAUUUGAAGCCUCUGACCUUCAAUCCCGGACAUUGCUUGUUAUAUUUUAAAUUUUGUAGUUUAUCAUGACUAUUAUUAUCCUACAAUGUGGUACACAUGUGUGAAUUAUAUACGUUUCGUACUAUAUUUUUCAAUAGUUAUGAGUUGAUUGAUUAUCAAAAAUUAACCAACAACAAUUAUGUCAUUAGACGACAAACAAGCAAACAUACUAUGUAGUGUUUGUGGGUCGUAGACAUGGAGUGUACGAUUCUUGGGCUGAAUGUCAAAAGAAUGUGCUCCUUUAUAAGGGGAGUGUUUACAAAUCAUAUACUUUUAGAGAGGAAGCUGUUUGAGCUUGGGUGUUCUAUGGACUAAGAUGGAAGAGAAGUGAUGAACGUUCAUCAGCUGGCAAACCAAAGUUUGAACUUGCAAUUGAUGAUCAGCAUUUGUUGCAAAAUAUUUCAUAUACAUAUGUAAUCACUUUCUUUGCUAGCUUCUUUGUAGCAUGUGUUUUGCUUAUUGUAACAUUUAGUUUAACAUGGGUUGUGGAAAUGUGUUAUGAAUAUCAAUUUCUAGUAAUGCAUUUUUCGUAGUGUUCACAAGUAUUAUGUGAUUAUUAUUAUCAACUUUGUUAAACUGAAAAUGCUCACUCAAACGUUUGGAGCAUAAGACAAUUUGUUCAUUAAAGGUUACAACAUUAAAGAAAUUGAGAAUUUUUGACACAUCAUAAGAUUUUGAAUAAAUUCUAGUUGAGAUGUAAAGCUAACAACUAUAUCUAUGGAAAUUACAUCUUAGCAUUUUCCAAAUUUACAUUUUGUCACUCAAACAUUUUGCCAUUUUGCACAAACUUAUUUAACCCAUCUUCUUCAUUCUAGUGCCUUGAUUUUCAUUAAUCCUUGGAUCAACUCAUUUGACCAAAAAUAAUUUUGUGAAAAGACAUUUCAAACAAACUUUUAAUUUAAGUAUAUUAUAUAAAUCUUAUUUAAAUUUUUUGAAUGAUUUAAUUUUUCAUUUAAAAAUAUAGUUACAAAUUUUAUUAAAAUUAAUAUUUUCAUUUGUGGGUUUAUGGACAAAAAUUUAAGAUAAUUUUAAUAGCAAGUUAGACAAAUAUAUGUAUUGACUAAUAAGAAUUUAAGUACUAUUUGUUUUAUUGUUUAGGGUUGAAUGUAACAUCAGAUAAAAGAAGAGAGGGGACAACAUAUCAUAUCCCAUGUUUGGUUAGUGAUAGAAGAAGAUAAGUUAACCUCACAACUUAUCAUAUCUUAUAUUCAACCAAACAUGGAAUAGGGUAACUCGAUAUUAUCAAUUGUUUAUAUAUAUAUAUAUAUAUAUAUAUAUAUAUAUUACUUAUCUUGCAAAAUAUUUUUUUCGUUAAAAAAGGAAAAUUUAUAAAAUUUAUAAAAUAUAUUAUUAAAUAAUAUUAAUAUAUUUAUUAUUCAAUAUAUACAAAAUAUUUUUAUAUAUUGAAUAUCAUAAUAUAUAUAAUAAAUUUUAAUUUAUAAAGUUUAAAUAUUUUAAUUAUGAAUAUUAUUAAAUGUAAAACAUAAAAAAUAUUGAAAUGUAAUAUAAUUUUUAAUUUAAACAUUGAAAAAUAAUAUAUACUAUAUCUUAUUUUUAUUCAUUUACAAAUUAAAUAUAAACAUAAUAUAAUAUUCAAUAACAUCAUAUCUUAUUAAAAAUCAUAUAUUUACAUUUCCUAAUAUACAUGUAUAUUCUAUCCUACUAACCAAACAUAACCUUAAAAUAUUUUCAAACAUUUUCAUAACUUCUAUCAAUUUGCAUUCCACCCAAAUUUUGUUUUCUUUUGUUUCACAUUUUUCAUCCCAUAUUUUUCAUAUUUAUAUAAAUUCAAGUACCAACUUUUAAUACCUUCAUCAUUUUCAACAUUGUUGUAGAGAGUCAUAAAAAACUUAUUUAUUUUUAAUUAAAUGAGAUUCUGUCAACAUAUUUUUAAAAUGAGAAAUUAACACUCAUAUAAUAAUCUUAUUUUUCGUAGUGUGGCAUCUCAAAAUAUUGAAAAUUUUCUAGCAUUCGUUGUAAAAUGACUAAAAUCAUCAAAAAUAUUUUUCUUCACUUACAUAAUUAUUAAAUAAGUUUUUAUCUUUUAUUUUAAAAGUAAAAAAAAAAAAAUUGAAUACCAAAAAAAUUUAGCAUUUAUAGAAAUUAGAAACAACAUUUAUAUUUUCUAUCUAAAAAGAGAAAAAUUAAAAGUCUCAUAUUGACUUACCUACGACAAAAAGGAUCCUAAAAUCAACCUAACAAACUUCAAACAAGCAAUAAUCAGCAUAAACCAAACCUCAUCUCAUGCUUUAACUUGCACUGCAAUUACAAUUAACAAAACAGACCCAUAAGAAAACAAAAGAGUAGGAUGAGUUUUUUCAUAUUCUUGUUUGCCAUAUUCUUGUUUGCCAACUACGCUUUCAGGUGUUUUCUAAUAACAUAUUUGGUGGGGUGCUCAUGCAAUCUCCUUCUGUACAUGAUUUUGAUCAAAGAGAAAUGUUCUGCUUCUACCUUUUCCCUGGAAGUAACAUCAGUGGGAAGGUUCGCUAGCUUUGCUUUAGAACUAGCUUUAUUUUAACUUUUCAUUUAUAGAAUCAUCCUCCAUAUUGGAAGUACUUCAUUUCUAUGCCUUCAAAUGGAUCUACCAAUAUAUGCCAUUUCUUUCAAAUUCAUUCUUUGAUCAUGUUGCAUUUAGGUUGUACAUUAAUAUCCUGUACUGAUGACCUUCUGUAGUGGUGUUGACAUUGAUCUUGACAAUGUCAACAAAUCAUUGAAGAGAACGCAUGUACAAGUGCAAAAGAUAGGCACAAAUACUUUGCAAGGGCACACAAACACAAUAAUUUAAAUGAGAGUUUGAUUUCAUUUGCCUGCAAAAUCAACCCAUUUUUACAGCUAUAGUCUUGCCUUAUACAUGUCCAAAAAGCAUACAAGACCAAUAAUCCGUUGAUUCAGACUUUGUCUAGGAUGACUACGUAUGGAAUAAAUAUGAAGAGUCACAAUACUGUCUGUUCAUACUCAUAAUAUUCAAAUAAUGUCUGUAUUGGACCCUAUUGGCACUUUAAAGAUUUCAAUGACUACGUAUCGGUCAAACUAGUGAACCAUGAAUUAGUAAUUUUUUUUUAUUCAAUGACUGAUCUUAUUCUAAAAACAUUUAUUUAAAAGAUUUCAAAUUAACACUACCUAAAGGCAUUGAUAUAUAUAUAGAGGCUUUGGGUGUCAAUUAAGCCAAAAUAUUUAAUUACAUCGCUUCUAGUAUUUAAGUGUGCACACAUGAUGCAACUUUUUGUUUGAAUGAUAUUACAUGGACAAUUACUUGUUGAAUAUUUAAAUGUUAAUAAUAAUAUUAUUAUUAAAGAAAACUUAGAAAUAAACAUUUAAUGACUCAAAUAUUCUUUAUUUCUAAAAUUAAAUUAUACUUCUCUCUUCUUUAAACAAUUUUUUCAUAAAUGAAUGUGUUCAAACAUUUUUCAAGAUCUAUUUAUCUCAAUAAACAUAACUUUCAGAAUUUUCUUUUAUCUUCUCUUCAUUUAUAUUCAUAAUUGUUUUGAAUUAAUUUUGAUUUAUCUAUUAAAAAUUAGUUGUGGUUUACAUUCUUUGUACAAUAUUUAUUAUUAUCAUCAUUAUUAUUAUAACAAAGAAAUGAUUAAAAAUAUUUGCUCACAAAUAAGGUUAAAAAAUUUUAUAUAAGAAAAAUAAAAUGUGGUAAACUUGUUUUUAGGCAAACCCUUAAAUAUUUUCAUUAAUUAAUAUAUAUAUAUAUUUUUUUACAAUUUUUCCAAAUUCAUGUGGUAUAAUUUGAGUGAAAAUUUAUUAAAAACUCGAAAAAUAAAUAUUUGAUAUAUUUAAUAAUCUUGUUUUCCAGGCAAUAAAAUCUUCUUGUCUGUUGAAGCCUCGCAUCACCCGGGGUCCUCGCAGUAGCCAGAUGGACGCUCCCUUUCAACUGAUGAUGAUUCUUGCCUCAAUCAACCUGCAAAAGACGUUCGGACAGGUUGUCCAAACACAUCCUCCGAUGGUUUUGUUAGCCUUCUCUCUGAUAAUCAAUCUUCCCUUUUUACUGAGUAAGAAAGCUUACCUUCUUUCCUCGCAUGAAGGCUCUUUUAUAGUGUCAGAAGCUCUGUCCCCUUUAAUGGUAGGAAGACUUUUUGUCUUGUCAUGAUGGCGCUGAGGUAGUGGCAGAGCCAUCAUUGUCCUGCAGGUGCCUGUCAGAUAUUGUGGAGGGGAUGGCUUGCCGUCAUUCUUGUCCUUUCGCUCUACAGGCGGCGGAAUGCGGGCUGUGAUAGGUUGUCUGAGGUGACUCAGUAUGAUCCCGUCGAAAGUGCUUCUGGCAGUGUAGGCCAAGAUGGCCCGCGUUUCACGACCAAGGCUUUUGAUUAAGUUGCUAACGCUGGGUUCAGACAACAUAUCCGGACAAGAGAGUGGGUCGUCCGGAUCGUGGGUUUGAGAGUGUCGUACGCCCUCCGGAGGGAAUCCGGAUAGAGAAUUGAUGUGCCACAUGUCCCCUGGAGGGGUGCUGUGCGGGAUUGCCACGUGGGCGUUUGGGGAUGGUCCCUACAAUGCCCCCCUUUUAACCUGACUAUUUUGCCCGGGCAAAAAAGGCGGGUUAAAAAUGAUGCUUUUAAACCUUUCAUUUCUUUUUUGGGGUUUAUGUGCCACGUGGUGUUGCAAAAGGGGGAGUAUUUAUGGCGAGUCGCCGUUCUUGGGGGGAUUUCUAGGCGGCAUGUCGUUUCGACAGUGGCACGGUUGGGCACCUGGUUGUUUUGAGUAUCGAGGAGUCGCAUCCCUUAAAUAGGGAAUCCAGCCCCUGCAACUACAUUUUUCCUUCUGCGUUUUUUUCUCGUCUGUAUUUUCCCUUUGCCUCUAUGUUCAUCUUCACUUGUGAUUGAGGGUCGCUUUCUAGGGCUUCUGUUAGCGACAUUCCUGUCAUAAGGGCGACUGUAUCGUGGCCUUCGUUCCAGUUGCAAGCUUGCACCAGGUAUGUUCUGUAUUUCUAUCUCCUCAUCUUAAGCUUCCUGUUUCUUCAAUUUUUGCUGGCUUGUUGGGUAUUUUGUUUGCGAUUGAGGGUCAGAGGUAAUGUUUAGGGUUUUUCAGGGGGUUUUGAUUUUGUUUUGGGCCCAUUGUGGCUUUUGUUGCCUCCCUGUUGCCUUUACGGAUGACUGAACCGUAUUUGGGGUAGAGUUAGGGGUUAGGCUUGGGGUUUUGGCUAUUUUAGGCCUUCUGGGUCAUUUGUUCUCAGGGCUGUGGGGCCGGGUACCUCUGUUUUGACUGUUGGCAUUCCGCCAUGUAGGUUUUGUUUCGGCCUCACGCUUUAACAUGCCUACGAAAAAGGAUGUGGCUUCGUCCAGUGCAGCUGGGCCUAGUGGAAAAAGUGUAUCCGAGCAGACCUACUCGGGGAAGCCUACUGACAAGCUGAACGAGAGGGAGUUUUGUGAGCAUUUCUGUAUCUCGAACGAUGUCUCUAUUCAGCUAGUGGACGAGAAUGCUAUGUCCACUGAGAAAGCUGUCAACCACGUCGUUUACUUUUCCAAGGAGCAAUUCAAUGCGGGGCUCCAGUUUCCUCUUCCGUCUUUCUUCAAAGAGUUCAUCCACUUCACUCAAAUUUCUCCAGCUUAUGUCCAUCCCAAUAUUGUCCGGGUGUUGAUGGGGUGCAGCAUUCUAAAUAUGCUGUUCAAUUUGGAUCUUUCCUUGCUGGAGGUCCUCUUUGUUUACACCAUCAAGAAGGGGAAGACAUACCUCUUUAGCCUGUUUGCCCAUAUCCCAUCCCUUCAAUUGGUGACCAACCUUUCGGAUUCGAACAAGGGGGGAGCCAAAGGGCAUGUACUGGUCAGCGGUCACUAGGCCGGUCUGUCGAAGCCUCCGGAAAGGGAGUUUACCCCCAACCGUCCGUUGACGCUUCCAGGUAGGGUAGCUCUUGGUGUUUGUCCAGUGUUGGUUUUUGACUCUUGAUUCAGUGUUAUCAGAUGACUAACCUCUUUUGUUUUGGGUAACGCAGGUACACACAAAAGGGGUCGCUUGGUCAAGUGGGUGGAGAAGGCCUCUUUCGAUCGUUUGAACAGGCUGUUCGAGAUCACUUCCAUUGAGAGGCACUACCAGACACUUCUUUCUGCCCGGAACCUGUUGGCUGUCGUCUGGGAACCUCAGCCGUACGUCCUCAAUAUUCUCCCUAGGUGACUACCCAAGGUUGUAGUGCCCGGGGAACACUUUGUACUGAAAGAUCUGUCUUUUUACGAAAGGGCUCGCGAGGCUGACGCAAAGGCGUGCCAGGAGCACCUUGACCAGCGGGAGGAGAAGAGGCAGGAGAGGACACCGAGGAAAGCACCUGUAAAAGAAAGGGCUUGGCGAGAAGAGGUCGGCGAGAAAGGACGCGAAUCUUCUCCCGCGGUCCGUUCUUUGACUGCAAAGAAGAAGAAAAAGAAAACCAUUGCGCAGGCUCUCCAGGUAGUGUCUCCGGCUCUUGAUUUUUAGUCUUCAUCCUCCGACUCUGCGUCCAGUCGAUCGAAUAACCCUGCCCCGAAGCCUGAGGAUACUUCUAGAUCUCCACAUCUUGAGACUUUCCAUUCGGGGCCUGGCUCUUUCCAACCUCAGUCGGACUUCGUUGGCCUGAGAGUCGUGCACGAGCUGAUGAAGUGAGAGACAUGAACGACCUCAGAACUGGGUUUUUGCAAAGGCAUCGUAAGCGGCUGUACGAUCCCAUAGAUCUUGCGCCUUCUCCAGCCAAGAGGGUUUGCCUAGACAGAGGUGGGGAGGAUCCAGUGACAGAAGUUCCUUUGUCAAUUAUGGCCCAUCUGGACGAGGCGGGUUCUAGUGCGGCUGCAGCAGUUCAGCCAAACGCUGUAGGAUCUAAUGUAGCAGCAACGGCUUGGCCUGACGUUCCAGGGCCUAGUGCAGCGGCCGUUGCCCAACCAGGUGUAAUUGCUCACAACAACGCCCCAACUGCAGUGGAGACCCGUGGGACAGAGGGGGUUCCGGAGGCAGCGAUUGACGAGGAGGCUCUAGACGAGAAGAGUAGUCCAGCUGCCACGGUUCCUCCAAGCUGGGAGGAAAUGAUGGAGAUGCUGAAGGGAGUGCCAUGUUUCACGGAUGCCGAGGCUCCUUCCACAAGGAUGUUUGACUUCUUUUCGCUUACCAAGUGGGUCUCUGUGAACAUGGGUGGUGAUCCUCCUGCCUUUGUCAAGGCCCGACUUCUUUUUGGCACCCUUGAGUCCAUCGUGUCUUGUAUUCAACAUCUGCAGGAGUGGACGAUCCCUGAGACUACAGAAGUGGUAAUAAUUUCUUUGCUACUUUUUCCUUCUUCCUUAGCAAUUGUUACUCCUUUGCAUGACAUUAGCUUUUGUUUUGUUGUUGUUCUGCGCAGGUCGUGGUUGGCAUCGCUACAUGAUGCAUAUGCGCAAACAGCUCUUCAAGCGGCUGGAAGUGGCGGAGGCUAUGCGCGCCUUCAUCUCUCACCAUCCGGGUGGUGUUGAGGAGAUGCGCUCGCGGUUAGAGAAGGUGGAGGCUGAGUUGGUUGCUGCUCAGAAGGCCGUAGCGGAUGGGGCGAAGAAGCUGAGCCAGGCUGAGGAGGAGAAGGGGUUGUCCGAGAUGAGGUGAACCUACUGAAAGGGGAAAAAAGGGCCUUGGAGGGUCAAAUCAAAGGGGUGGAGCAGGAGAAUUCUCAGCUUAAGAAUGAGGUGGACGAACUUCGGGCUAGCCUCGCAGCUCAGAAGAAGGAGACGGAGAGGUUGCAGGCAGGCCUAAUUGCUCAGAGGGAGAAGAUGGAGUCCAAGUUUGCCGCUCAGAAGAAGGAACUGGAGACGGAGUAUCAAAGGCAGGUAGACGAGAUGUACUUCUUCGACUAUCGUUGCUACAUGAAGAAUAACGACAUUAUGCAUGAUGUUCUGACGAUGAGGAUGCGAUACCCGGAGGCCCUCCUUGUUGAGAUUUCUUUGUGUGCAGUCCUCCUUAUACUUUUUCUCUUUGUUUUGCUGCUUUUAGGGCGGCGAAUUUUGUAAAGACAAUUUUUUAGUCCUUUAUAAAUACUUUACACUUCUUUACUUUUCUCUACCUUUUGCUUCUUUUUAUUGGUAAUAUUGCUUAAGGUUAGAUACAUUUCAUGGACGGAGCAACAGGGUUCCGUCUAACUUUUGUAGGUGAUAGGCUCCGCUUUCACUUGCCUUAGUUACAAUAUAAGGACCUUCCCAAUUCACUUGGAAUUUCCCGGCUCCUCUUUCAGCGGUGUUUUCGAAAACCUUUCAAAGGACCAGCGUUCCGAUCUUGAAGACCCGGGGUCGUGCCUUGCGGUUAUAGUGAGUGGCCGCUCUUUCCUGGUAGUCAGCCAUCCGAAUGGACGCGUUUUCUCUCACUUCAUCCACCCAGUCUAGGUUCCUUCCUAGUUCCGUACUUUCAUCACUCUGUCCUCGUGCAUCAGUCCGAAUAGUGGGCAAACCUAUUUCUAUGGGGAUGAUUGCAUCCCUGUCAUAUGCAAGGGCGAAGAGAGUGUUUCCCGUGGGUCACCCAGGCAUGGUUCGGUAGGCCCAUAGGUCGUCGGGCAGUUCCUCUACCCACUUUCCUUUAGCUUGCUCGAGCCUCUUCUUUAAGGCAGUCGCCAAGGUUUUAUUUGUCGCUUCUACUUGCCCAUUGCUUUGAGAGUAACGUAGUGUGGAGUACAAAUUCUGGAUUUUGAGCUUCGAGCAGAAAUUUCGGAAGGCGAUGCUGUCAAACUACGGACCAUUGUCGGUUAUGAUUGCUUGAGGGAUCCCAAAGCGACAAAUGUUGUUCUUCCACACAAAUUUGGUGACAUCCUUGUCCUUAAUGUUGGCAUAUGCCUCUACUUCUACCCAUUUGCUGAAAUAGUUUGUGGCAACGAGCAUGAAUUUCUUCUGGGCAGCUGCGGUUGGUAAAGGUCCUACUAUGUCCAUCCCCCAUUGUGCAAAAGGCCAAGGGCUGGAAAUUGACUUCAACGUUUUAGACGGCACAUGCGGUAUGGGGGCAUGUGUGGACCCGCAUUUUUCACGUGCGUCCCACUCGAUCGGCGAGACUCGCUUUUUUAUUAUUUUGUGAAAAAUUGAUUUUUGGAAAAAAAGUUGGAGUCGCCACUUAUUUUAUUUUUAUUUUAAAGGGAAAAUAAAACAAGAAAGAAAAACCCUAAAAUGUGACUCCAAAAUUUUUGGAAAAGCAUGUCUUUGAAAACCCAAGUCUCGGUCCGGGGAUCAGGUUACUUAUUGGGAAGGUACCUCUAGGAGGUAGCACCCCUCUAAGCCCUAUAAAGGUCUCUACUGACAAAGUUAAGGGAAGUGUGACCAUUAAUCAGUUAAUUAUAGGUACCUAAGUAGGCUAGGUGAUUUCAAAUAUUGCAUGCCUAACAAGAAAACCAACCAUAAGAGAGAGUCGAAGUGCGUACCUGAACGGCUUCUUGAGUGCUAUUAUAAAACAUCAAUGCUUAGUUUAGAUGAUAUAUCAUACAAAGUGUUUUAUCCAAGCAAAUCAAGCAUAUAUCAAAACAUCCAAGAAUUGCAUCAUGUAUGGAUAUAGUCAUUAGUAACAUAUGUGUCAAUAGAAUUCUCAAAAAUAGGUGUGAAGGAGGGUACCUGGAUAGCGAGCUAGUACUCCUCUAUAGGAAACAAGAGCAUCUCAACAAUAAAUAUUAAGUCAAUUCAAGUAUUUCAUCAAGAAGAAUCAAAAAUCAACAUAUCAAGUAAACAGUAUUGAAGUAGGUAUCAUGAAUGUCGGGCCCCCACCAAAGCCCUAAUUAAUUUCGCAUGAGUUGAUUCCAUUAAUUCCAUGACUUGGAAUUAUGGAGUUUGUUCAUGCUUAGGAAAAUCAAGAAAAACACGAAAAUAGUUAAAGUCAAAGAAAACAGUGAAAGUGCAUACCCGAAGUAAAGUGGCAGCAAAUUGCAUGUUAAAAUCUGGAUUUUGUACCUAGAAGCUUCUAAAGAAGUUUAAAGAAAACUGUAGUUAUUUUGACGUAGAAUGGUUUUGAAAUCUAGAUUUAAGAUGUAUAAAAUCACAAAAGAAGAAAAAGAAACAAUAGAAGGAGUAUGAUGCGUGGUGAGGUGGCCAAGCUGGAUUAGUGUCUAGGCUACUUUUGAGACUGAAUUACUUGGGUUGCUUGAGGAUGUUUCUGUAGAUUGCUGAAAUGGAAUUCUGCAUUCUUACAUCAGUGGUCGCUGUCUGCAAACUCAAUUCACUCAUACAACUGUGGAGAAAGAAAUUUCACUACCAUCUCUUCCUAAAGUUCCUGUUUUCAUGCUACUGGCAUCACAACCCAAACCAGAUUGGUGCACUCCAACUGAUGUCUUCCAAUAUUUCUUCUAAUUCAGGUUCAGAGAAUGACAAGAAGUCACUUGGAUUCACCACAUUGGAGAAAGUAGAACCAUUGUCAUCAUCCUAAAGGUGCUUCGCCAUGGCAGAAAAGAGGAAACGUUGGCAGAAAAGCAAUUUCUACUUAUCAUCUGAUCUGGAAAUGUGCAUGAGCAAUUCCCCUUAUAUUAACACCAGGGUUCUGUUUCUGUCAUCAACCUGCUAAACAUUAACUGAAUGCUUACAUCUUUAUUGAUUCGUGCCCAAUUGGUGUCUCAGCUGAUUCGUGUGCAGCUGGUGCUCCUUGAUUGAGGGAUUAAUCAACAAAAUUUAUAACCUAUUACACCAUAUACUAGGGUAGCAAAGACAAAGCUACUAUAGCAUAGUGGCUCUAGGAUUGUUCACUGGGAUGGGUUUUCACUUCACAAAUGAUAUUAAUUCAAAGUUGAAUUGGUGCCUUUUCAUUUCAAUGUUAGUUUUAAAAGAAAACAUAAAGAUGUUUGAAUGAAAAAAAGUUUGGUUUUAAACUAACCAAAAAUAGUAACUGAUUUUACUUACAAAGAAAAGUGUUUCUUGGAGUUUCAGAUCACUAGGCUCAAAUUCCUCAUACAAAAAGGGAGUUCCGGUCACUUGUUUCUUUUCCUCGCAUUAGAGAAUUAACAUAUAGUUCAUUCUCCAACCGGUGCUGUACAAAUGCUUCCCAUUAAUGGGUUCAAACACUAAAUCCCUCUCACUGAUGCAUCUUGCAAUGGCUCAAACCUCUCACCUAGCACUUGCCAUUCAAGGUGAUCUUUAACCUUGGAUUUCCCUUUUCAAGCUCGCAAGAGAUAACUAAUGGAUGUCUCCUUGGAGUCCAAAAGCUUACCAAGUGUUGGCAAUUCCAGAAAAUCCUACCUUCAAGUCACCUCCCAAAGGCUCGCAAGGGGUAAACUAGUGCAUCUCCAUGGACGGAGAUCACUUGCCUUACCAAGUGUUGGCCCAGGUGAUUUAAAGGCGUUUUAAGUUAACUAAAAACAUAGAAAUCACUAACGGGUUACACUUUCUCUUCAUUAAAAACUAAAACAACAAAACUUCCAAAUUAUGCAUGUGGAAACUUACCCGGCUUUCCUCACUCCAAGAGACAAAGAGCCUAGCCUCUCAUCUUCUAAGGAAAAAUCCUCAGAGAAUGUUUGGCUAGCAAGAAAAUGAAAAUGAAAAUGAAGGAAAAACAGAGCAAGGCUCUGUAUAUUCUAUAUAUUUAUCUAUCUAUUUCUAUAUUACAUACAUAAUUACAGUGGAUGCAAGGGAGUUUAUAUAGGAAGGUAAUUUACCCUUCCUUGGAUACUUCCUAGCUAAGGAAUUACAUGAGUGGUUGAAUACAAGGAGAAAAUGAAAAUUUAGACACAAAAAUCUGAAGAAAAAUAUCCCAAAGUGUCGGUCACAAAUAUCGGGAAACACUAAGGACCAUUUCGCAGGUGAAAAUGGUGUCUGCGAGAUUUCGCAGACACUCAAGAGGGCUGCGAAAUCAUUUCGCAACAACAUGCUAUCUUCGUAGGGCUGCGAAGUUGGCUUCCACCUUGAGGUUCCAAGCUUCCCUCUCGCGGUAUACGUCGGGCAACUUCAGGAGGGAAUCCACAACACUGUACAAAAAGGCUGCGAAAUCAUUCCGCAACAAAAGGGUGAUUUCGCAACACUUUGCUGAAUCCUUCCUUCAGUUUGGAGCAGUCAUCUUCCAAAGGCUGUAACUUCCUCAUUUUAGCUCCAAAUCGUACACGGUUUGAAGCGUUGGAUUCUUGACUUCCUGAGCUUUGAAAUGGUAUAUAGAAUGUAGAAAAUAGACUUCGGGAAGUGCUCCAAAAGUGCGAAAGAAGACUGCAGCUGCUGUCCUCUGUUUUCUUCACUCUGUUUUUCCUCUCUCCUUGCUUCUCUCCUUGCAUACUUUGAACGACUAAGGCAAAGGACUAUCAGGCUCCAAAUCUUGGUUUCUUCAUGAAUUUGAGCUUCCAUAAGCUUUGCCAUAACUUGUUCAAGUAGCUCCUCCAUCAUUUGGCAUGCUUGAAUUGAUUCAUAAGCUGAUAAAAACAUGUAAACUUGCCACAAAAUGGUUAAAACCAAUUACUAAGGACCUUAAUGAAUUAAUUGGGUUAAAUGAAUAUGAUUACUACUCAAAGGUGCUUAAAACCAUUAUAAUUAGGUCUACAAAAUAGCACUUUUUGGUAGUAAUCAUUUAUUGAUCUUCAGAUGUUCAGUUUCCCGAAUAACUUCCCAUUCUUUAGGCAUAUCAAAUUGCCCAGAAUCAGAAACUAUCUCUCAGUCAAUAGGAUUCAGCAACUUCUUUGCGUGUGUGAAGGCAAAGGGGCAGUAAGUUAGAGCUUACUGAUGGAUCCUACAUUUCUGGACUUUCGAGAGUGACCUCCUAGAAGACACCGUACUCCACCAUUCUCUUAUUUCUCCUUUGCUAUUUAGAUUUGGUAAGGUACACAAGCUCUUUGAAGAUGGUUGACCCAGACCUUCUCGUCCCCAUGCUGAUCUGUACUCAUCAUAAUCUGAUUCUCCCCUUGCUUUAUGUCAGCACAUAUGCUGUAAGCUCAUCGCAGAGGAUACGAAUUCCAUGGUUCCAUGCACAGGAUCAGAGAGGGUAAGUUACUGAGGAAGUCUUGAUUAAGGGGAACACCAUUAUUCACUAUCAUCAAUGCUUGUUUCCUUUUCGUAAAAAAAAAGAUCUCACUCUAGACUUCAAUUUCAAUUUCUCGUUCUGAAUUUGCAUCAACAACAGAAGGCUGAGUGGCUUCCAUUAAAAGGUAAAAUAAAAAAGAAGACCAGUUGUGACAGCCAUUUGAUCAAUUAAAUCAUCAACUCCUGGCAUUGGAGCUAUCUUUAGAUGCUUUUGUACAGAAGUUGGGGGUUCUGCUGUGGGCUGUCUUCUAGCUCUGCAUGAGAUGCUGACAGCGGUGAGGAUGUUGAAGGGUUGUUUCUUGAUAAUACAUGCAGUGUAGGGAAUUCAGACUCAAAAGAUUGUGAUGGUUCAAUAUAUCGGGGAUGGUGGCGAUCUCAUAAUGGAUUCAUCAUAGUUUUAAGAGGUAAAGGAUGGCUUGAUCGGCUGUUGCAAUGUUUGUAUCAAUCGUAUUUUGGUCUUUCUCUGUCCAUCUCUUUACUAACAAGAUGUUCUCUUCUAUCUUGCCACUUUGUAUCCAAGGAGACUGAGUAACAUAGGUCUUUGUUCCACACAGUUUAAAGAUACCAGAUAUCUUAGACACCUCUCAGAACAUACAGGAUAGUAAGCUUGACUUGUCUGAGCUUACAGCACCACAAACAGCAACCCUCAUGCCACGGCACACCCGCAAAUUAAUAUCCUUCAUUGUUCCCAAAGCUUGAUCAAUAACAGAGAGUUUACCUUCGCAUUCCUUCAUGUUUGUCAAGGUCAACUACUCGUUCGCAAUUAUAUCUGAAUUUCAUCUUUGCAAGAGGUUCCAGGUACGGUCUGGUUAAGUAUCCACUAUUAUCAAGCGGUUCCUUAUCCAAUUUAUCCUCACUAUCUUUCCCCUCCUCAAUUUUCUCAGAAGAAGACUGCCUUGGAGAUCCUGUGUCAGAUAUCCCAUGAAUGCUCUGACAUUAGGACAGAGACUGCACUAAACUUGACACCAAAUUCAAAGCAGCGUGAAGACUUGCUUUAUUUAUGAUGCUAGCUCGGUCACCAUUCCAUCCACUCCUUGCGGAAGCAACAUCUUUAAUAUCAUCUGAUUCUUUAAAGAAUGAUUCAUCAAAAUAUUUGUCAUCAAUCUGUUUGACACCACUGUCUAAAAGAGGGAGAUAUGACUCAGAAUCAGUAUCAGAUGCUUCGAAACCUAUCUCAUUUUUCUCUCUGGACAGCUCUAUUUCCACUGAUUCACACUGUCCAUCUAGAACAUUUUGGAUGAUAUCGAUUUUUAAUUUGCAUCUUUCAAGCUUCUGGCACAUCCUAUAUGGACUUUCAAUGGGACAAAACUGCUAUUCAGGACCUUCAAUCAGACUGGUUUUGUGCAUUGGAAGUAUGAUGUGUGGCAAGGUGGCCAAGAAGGAGUGGAGCCUCAAAAUUCGGGAUAGAAGGACCCAAUUCAUCGUCAGGAUAUUCAGUGGUCAAAAGCAUUUCCAUGUAUUAGGUAACUUGGUCCAUGAGCUCAAAUGGGUUCUCCCCAACAUUGAUCAAACACGGAACAUAAAAUUCAAAAUCCCCAAUUUCUUUGUAUUGACAGAUUUCCUGCAUUCUGUGUUAAUUUCCCACCACCAAGAUUUGAUUCAAUGGUUCUACUAGAAUAUGUACCCUUGUCGUUGCCAUCACCAAGCAGACUCCUCAUUGUUAUUUUUCAUCCAUAAUCGGACCGAAUCUGUAAAUGAAUGGUUUCCUUCACUUUGCGAAAUUCCUUCACGCUGUCGCUGCUGUGUUCCUGCUGCAUCCAUGAGUCCUUGUUGGCUGUUUCUAUUCCGACUAUUCUUUCCAAUCUCUAUAGCCAAUGGUGCAAUCCACUGGUCGUCAGAUAUUCCGUUUGAAGCUGGGGAAUUUUCUUGUUCAAACCAUCAGACUUGAAAACUGGAUCACUUAAAAUGCUAGCUAGGUGCCGAGCCACUCCUCCAUCUAUCAUGUUUUUUUCUUUUUUUUGCCCUUUUUUAUAUAGCAAUAAAAAAAAAGUUCUUCAAAGGAUUACACUCCAGGUUCGAAAAUGAAGAUAAUGUUUUAACGAGUUUACUGAUUACUCGCAUGUGCCUUUCAGUAGAACAGCUGCAUAGAACGGAAUUUGAAGAAGUUUAUCUGCAACAUCUACCUCUGUCAAUAGCACACCCUUAAGGAUUUCUUCUUCCAGCCAGGACCAAAACUGUGCAAGAGCAACUGCAUCCCUUAGAUGAGAAUUGCGCAUCCCUUCUAAUUCAGCCUGAUUUCUCACAGCCUUCGCCAGCAAAAUAGGUGAAAUCUUAUAAACUCCAGUGGGCACCCCAGAUUGACCAUUGGCGACUCCAUAUGCCUCAGACUUAUUUUUCCUCUUAUUAUCAAGGCUCCCAGAAUACUGGUCACAAGCAGCCUCGUAAGUGUUGACAAUAGCAACAUUAACAGAAGACGUAUCCAACUAGAGGUGUGCCCCUUUCGCUGCCAAAUUCUUUAUUUCAGCUAGAAUGGAUUUAUAUGGUCUCAACUCCAUGCCUACAUUCUUCAAGUGAUCCAUCACUUCUGGGCUGACUUUAGAAUCAUCAAUAAAUAAUUUUGCCCCAUCAAUCUCCACAAUAAAGUAUGCACACAUAACAGGUGAGUUUGGAACAUCAUUUCCUCUCAAGUUUAACAGCCAAGAAACUUCAUCAAGCAUAGAAACAACAAUAGCAGAACAACCAGCAUCAAUGAGUUCAGACCUCAGGGAAGACAAUUUCGAUGAGACAUCUAAACCAGCAUACGUCAGCUCAUGCACUCUAAUUGGUUUUCUUGGAGGCUCCGGCCUUGAUUCUUUCCAUAUUUCAUCCACAAGAUUUAAAUCAUAUAGGUAAACCAAUUCAUGAUUCUUCUUAGCAAUGGCCUCUUUCAAUUCCUCUGCAGCAUCAGAAGAAAAAAAAAAGGAUCAAUGCCAAUUCUGCAAACAGGAGCCAAAACAUCAUUAAGCCAUUCACUGGUUGUAGGAACUCCAUAGUUACCAACCCGCAUAAGAAUCCAAUUAGAGCUUAACUGCUUCUCUGCCUGGAGAAAAUAACGCCCAUCUGUCCAAAGAGCUCCUUUAUCCUUUGUGACAACAGCAGUACCAGCACUGCCAGUAAACCCUGAUAUGUAGGCCCUCCUCAUAUAACAUUCAGCAAUGAACUCACUCUAGAAGCCAAAAUAGAAGUGCUUCAGAAUUAAAUAUCCAGUUGACUCACCGACGACAAGUACUAUGUGAUAAAUGGAACCAAAGAACAUGAAUCCAGAUAAACCUCCAAGUGGAACUGGAGGCUUAAUUUGUUCCCUGGUGGGCGUCCUGGGAAGGGAUAAUAUACGCAUCAAUUCCAAUUCUGGGCUUCGAGAACAGCUCACGCAGAGAACGAAGCUUCUCAUCCUGCUCGGAAUCGGCAGAUUUCUUCCGAAACUGAGAAGAGGGUUUUGCGGUAAUGGAAGCGUAGUUUCGAACAAGGAAAAUAAGGCGGUUCUGGGAUUUUGGGCAGAAACUGUGGGGACUCUUGAAUUUGUAGAAAAUGGGAAGCGAGUGAGAGAGGAAAUGAAGACAACGGGAAUGCAGCUGAGAAGAACGAGGAGAGAAAGCCGUUGAGAGGGUGAGAGGAGACAUCAGUGAUGAUGUUGUUCAUUACUGGAAAGCUGGUCUUUUCAGUAGAGGCUAUCAUACUGUGGGCCACUGCCCGAAUUCUUUUCAGCAAAAGCAGUUGCUUUCAAGACAGAAGUUGUUGCCAAAAUCAUCAAGAUCCCCUCUGGGCUUCGUGCGUUUACUGCCAAGAAAUUCGACUCUUCUGGCACAGUCAAGUGUCACAUGUGCUUCAGCUGCAGUUCGAAGGCCAGUUUUCUUCUUAAUAUCCGAGGUCACCCAUCUGUAGUAAACCCUUCUCCAUGAAAUUUCUUUCUCUGACCGAAGAACACAGAUAUUAACAAAACAUCAUUGAGAUCAAACAGAAAACAUCAUUUGCAGAGCACGUAAAACUUCAAGCUCUUCCCUUCUACACUUAGAGCCAUUAGAAGAGAAAUCAGUUCAGGGAACUAGACAACCUGUUUAGCAACAAGCUUUCAAGCAAUAAUCUGCCCUAAUGACUGAUCAAGUGUAGAAAAGUAAUUACAUUAAGCCGCGCAUUCUAUGAAACAACGUUUCUUUCUGACAUACUCUCAAACAAUUGCCUCGCAAUAUCCAUACAUCCAAAUUUUGAGUACACGUCAACCAAAGCCGUCUCCACAAACACAUUACCUUCAAAACCACCCCGAGCCCAAAAGAAUAGUGCACUGAUUUCACAAUCUGGAUCAAGCUUGGAAAAACUGCCUUCCGACAAGAGAAUCUCCUCUGGUUUUGUAUUCUCUGAUUUUUCCCACUAAUUUUCCUACGCUUCCUUCUUCUUUUCACCAAAACGAUCCCCACCCCUUUUUUUCUUUCUUUUCUUUUCAAUGUUGCUUUCUCCCGCGCUCCCCAAUAUACUCUCAGUGUAAAUACCCUAGAAUAAUUGAAUUCCAAGGAGGCACAUCUCUAAUCCCCAUAUGAACUCACAAAUUUACGUUAUGGUAACCAAACUUAGCAAGUGCAAUAAACAGCCGACAUACCCUUCGGACAAUCUUCUCUAGAUCCCAUAUUGUGAUAGCAGUUCAAGAAUUGUGAAGCGUUUGACCUCUUUACUGAAACUCAUGACUAUAUGCCCAUGCUUUAGAGUCACCCCCAUAUGAAAAGCUGAUGGUCGUGUGAUGGGUAGGAAGAAAAGGCAAAACAGAUAUGGUAGAGAGUAGAGGAAACAAUGGGAAAACAGACAUGGGAGAUUAAAAGAAAAUAAAACCACAUCUCCUGAUUUUUCAAUAGGCUCAGGUUAGUGGGAACAUGCAUGGAGUUAUAUGCUUCCGAAGACAUUAAUGACAUCCGAAAUCAAAACAAGGCAAACAGGCAAGUAACCAAUCUCAACAAAGCAAAUUGUGGCCCUUUUCGUCCACACCAAAAAUCAACAAGACAAUUAAAUUUUCAGGAAUCGAACACACGGAAAAAUCAAAUAUAGGUAAGAAUUCCAAAAGCAACGGGGUGCAUACCUGGACAGCUUUGGUUGCAAUGGCUUGGCUUCUGGCUAUCUUUUCUCUUCCUUCUGAAGACAAUUCCCAGGUAAAAAUCCUCUUUUUGCUUGUUCUUUCUUCCUCCUUCUCCCCCUCUAGACUCCAAUACGUGCUUCCCUCCAAAAAAUCUCCUCCCACAAUAAAAAAAAAAAAAAAAGCUCUCUCUUUUUUCCUUCCUCUCUCACGUAUAUAUACACCUUUCCCUAAAACCUCAAUCUCCCUAAAAAAAAGGCCAAAUCUCCUAUAUUCCCUCUUCUUUUCUCCUUAUCCUUUUUUUAAAUAUUCCAAUUCAAAAGCAAUCUUCCCAACUUUAAAUUCUCCUCCAAAACCUUCCAAGGAGAGUCCCACUUUCCUUAAACUCCAAUGAUAAGUUUCCUUAUAAAAACAUGAAAUUUUAGAAGUUAAAUAAUUGCAUGAAUAGAUAAAUAAGUAAAUAAAUUAGAAAAUGGUAAAAAUAAUAAAUAAAUAAAUAAGUUAAGGAAAAUAAUAUAAAGAGGAAAAUAAAAUAAAAUAAAAUGAAAAUAAACAAAAUAACAAAAAAUGGGCCCUAUGAGCCAUGCAAACACGCAAGUCAUAUAAGUCACGCUAAAAAAAAUCUUAAUAGACCUAGUAUACCUAAACGGGCCUAUGAUGAGACUAAGUGGGCCUAGGGUGGUGCCUAAUGGGCCAAGUGUAUCUAAAAGCUAUCCUAAAAAAAAAACAAGAAAAGCCUAAGUCUAAGUUAGCCGCCAAGGGUCACAAUAAGGGAUCAAAUAAUCCCUCAACCAAAGUCUUCAAGGUGACUCAGAAAAAAGUAAGUGGUGAGUAGUACUGGGCCACCAAGGAACUACUGUGGAGCACUAAAAACGAAUUUUAAAGACAUAUGCUAAAAGGACAAAAUUAAGGGUCUACAGCAUGCCUUUGGCAUUUGUCACACUUCUUGAUAUAAGCCGCAACGUCUCUCUUCAUAGUGGGCCAAUAGUAGCCCUACGAGUGCACUCGAUGCGCCAAAGAUUGUCCUCCGGGGUGAUUGCCGCAUACACCCUCAUCUAACUCAGCUAAUAUGUAUUGAGACUCUGAGCGGUCUAGGCACCUGAGGUAGGGGCCUAUAAAAGAUCGUUUGUAAAGGUGCUCCCCGAUCAGAGCGAAACGAGCAGCUUGUACCCGGAUCUUAUACACCUGCUUGGGUUCAUCAGGUAGAGAUCCUGUCUGGAGGUAUCCUGCUAUGACUUCCGUCCACUCUUGGCCCUCUUCCUGGCUUUCCUCAAUAGUAUUGCAAGUGGAUGUUUCUAUGAUGGAGGGAUCAGUCUGCACAUAUAUAGGAAAUAAUAUGGCCUCUUUGAUGGGCAGGGAAGUAGCUAUUCUUGCCAAGGCGUCAACACGUACGUUAUCAACUCGUGGGAUUUUUUCUAUGGUCUAUUCGCUUAACCAUUGCAAGGUGUCUCUCACUUUUGUUAGAUAUCGCGCCAUUCGUUCGUCCUUGGCUCCGUAUUCCUCUUGCACGUGUUGAGAAUUGUUGUAGACUCGGAGCUUGGAGACAGAUAGUGCGAGGGCGAGAUCUAGUUCGGACAAGAUGGCUUCAUAUUCUGCUUCAUUGUUUGAUGCGGAGAACCCCAGCCGUAUAGCUUGCUCCAGUUGUUCACCUGUUGAGGAUUGCAGUAAAAGUCCUAUUACGGAUCCCGGUGAUCGAGAGGCUCCGUCAACCCGCAAGGUCCACCACUCUUCUUUGUGCGGUUCCUCGUCUCGAACAGGUUUUUGGGAGGACUCUACCACAAAGUCGGCCAUUACCUGUCCUUUCAUAGACAAUCUCAGUUGGUAUUUGAUCUCAUACUCACUUAAUUCUAUGGCCCAUUGGAGCAUUCUUCCGAACAGAUCCGACUUGUGCAGGAUGUUGUGAAGGGGCUGGUUGAUAAGUAUGACUACCGGGUGGGCUUGGAAGUAGGGGCGAAGUUUCUGGGCGGCACUUCACAAGGCUAAGGUUGUUUGCUCUAUCUUUGAAUACCUUGUUUCUACAUCGGCCAAUGCUCUGCUGACAUAAUAAAUAGGUUUCUUCUCCCUAUGUGUAGGGCAACGAAACAGAAUAGUGCUAACUACCCAAUCUGACACAGCCAAAUACAUAUACAAUUUUUCUCCGGGGAGGGGACUGCUCAGGAUGGGUGGUUGCGUUAGGUAGUGUUUGAUAUUUUCGAAAGCGCUUUGACAACUAUUCGUCCAUCCAGUUGUGUCGGUUUUCUGUAAUACUAAGAAGAAGGGUCGCAAUUCGUCAAUGAAUCAGGCUAUGAAACGUCCCAGUGCGACGAGCUUGCCUGUGAGGCGUUGCAACCUUUUUUUGUUCUUGGGGGGUGGUGUUUCCAUGACUGCCUUAAUUUGGUCAAGGUUGACUUCUAUUCCUCUUUGGCUGACCAUGAACCCCAAGAAUUUCCCAGCACUCACACCGAAAGCACAUUUGGAUGGAUUCAACUUCAUGCCUACCUCCUUAGUAGGUGGAAGACUUUUUGUAAGUGGUGUGCAUGCUCUUCUCGGGUUUUACUUUUAACCACUAUAUCAUCAAUGUAUACUUCCACUGUGCGGCCAACCAGGGGUUUGAAGAUCUUUGUCAUCAGUCUCUGAUAGGUGGCACCGGCAUUUUUGAGUUCGAAUGGCAUGACUUUAUAACAAUAAAGCCCAUGUGGAGUUAUAAAGGCUGUCUUUUCUUCGUCGGUAAGGGCCAUGGGGAUUUGGUGGUAUCCGGAGAAGGCAUCUAAGAAGGAGAGCAUUCCUUGCUCGACAGUGGAGUCCACGAUUUGAUCUAUUCGCGGUAAAGGGAAACUGUCUUUUGGGCAUGCAUUGUUGAGGUUGGUAUAAUCGACGCAUACUCACCAUUUCCCCUCCUUUUUGGGGACCACCACUACAUUCGCCAGUCAAUCCGGAUACUCCACUUCUCUAAUAAAUCUGGCUUCUAACAAAUUGUCAACCUCGUCCCGAAUAAUUUUUUGCCUAUCCGGGUGGAACCGCCUAACCUUCUGCCAGACGGGUCUUGAUGAAGGCAAGAUGUUAAGCCGAUGGGAGGUGACUGAAGGAUGGAUUCUCGUCAUGUCGAACUGCGCCCACGCAAAGACGUUGUGGCUUUGUCGGAGGGUGUCCUAGAUAUCCCGGGCCUCUUCAGGUGUCAAGAGGGAGCUGAUAUGUGUGAGAUGAGUGUUUUCCUUCGAGAUUUGGAUUGGCCGCAAGGAUCUACCAUUGGGGGAUCUUUAUCCGCCGGGUUCAGUAAUUGCUAUUGGUUUGGCAUGUUGGUGGGUUUGGGGAGGGACUAGCCAUCUUUGCUGGAUCCGACUUCUCGCGCUAUCUGAUAGCACUGGCUAGCGGCCAACUGAUUGCCAUAUAGAUCGAUUUGUCUGUCCUCAGUGAGAAAGCUUACCAUCUGAUGGUAUGUGGAAGGGAUGACUUUCAUGUAGUGCAGGCACGUGCGUCCCAAGAUGGCGUUAAAGGGGGACAAAUCUUCUACCACUGAAAAUUAUACGUUAAGAGUGAAUGGGCCUGCUUGGACUGGUAGCACAACGUCUCCAAGGGAGGUGGUUGCCGCUCCAUUGAAUCCCGACAAGAUCCGCGUAGGAUUUUCUAAGCCGGAUAGCUCGAGUCUCAUCUGCUUGAUUACUGAUGCUUGUAAGAGAUCGGUCGAACUGCCUGGGUCAAUUAGGAUCCGUCUCACAUCAAAGUCCUCCAUCCCUAAGGAUAGGAUGAGGGCGUCACGAUGUGGUUGUAAUAUUCGUGUGAGAUCUAUUGGGGGGAAAACGAUUGUCCCGUCUAUCGGGCGAACACUCCUGGUAGUUAAAUUGGGCAGGAUGGAAUUGACGCGCUCAUGCACCGACGCUGCUCGCAGCAACCUCUGCCUCUUUCAUUUGGAGUUGUACUCCUCAUCUAGUGGUCCUCUGUGGAUGUAAUUGAUGACGGCCUUAGGGGCGGUUGGGGCCCUAAAGGUCCCAGAAUCGCGGCUCCGGGAAGUAUCUCUAACCCAAGCUUCUGAGAGGAGGUAUUGCUUCAAAUGUCCUGCUUUUAUGAGCUUUUCUACCAAGUAAUGGAGACUCUUGCAUCGCUCCGUAGUAUGACCAUGCUCUUUGUGGUAAGCACACAUCUUGCUAUGAUCUCUCUUGGCUGGGUCCGUUUUGAUGGGUCUGGGCCACCUGAAGUCGGACAGGUCUUGUAUCAUAAAAAGGAGCUUCUCAUAUGACAUAGUAAGGAGAGUAAGAGGCGGCAGCUCCGGGCGACUUUGCUCCCCCUGCCUUCGAUCAGACGUCCUAGGCUGGUUCGAAGGUUUGGAACUUCUUUCCGCGUCGCUUCUGGAUGUUUGUCCGAUGACCAAAAUUUGCUGGGUGGCUACACGCACAUCAUCUUCCAGCGUUGAGUAUUUGCUUGCACGCCGGAACAAGUCAUCCAUCGUCGUGAGAAGCUUUUUAGCGAGUGCUUCAAAGAAUGGGGUACUUGGGCAUAUGCUUUGUUUGAAGAUUUGGAGGACAGCAUCCAUGCUAUAGGCCUCUACUUGCAACACAACCUGACCAAAUCGUUUCACGAAUUCUCUCAAGGACUCAUUCUCCUGCAUUUUUAUGUUUUGUAGGGUGCUGAUGUUUUAUUUAUGCCGGGCGGAGCACCAGUAUCGUCCCACAAAAGCUUCUGAUAGGUCCCGGAAGUUAUCAACAAAGUUCGAGGGGAGUCUGUGAAACCACGAAAGAGCUUGGCCUUGUAAGCUGGCGGGGAAUACUUUGCACAACAACACAUCAUUCCCUAUGUUGAGAGUCAUGAGUUUUCGGUAAUGCAUGAUAUGGUCGAAUGGAUCACUAGACGUGUCAUAUGAAGAAAAUUUUGGCACGAGGAAUCCCCUUGGGGGAUCCUAAUGGAUAAUACGUGAGCUAAAAGGCAUGGAGAGCAUGUCAUCCAGCCUCUUACUAAUGGAACCUGGGGGUGGUUCAUUUGAUGAGUUCCUUCCAACUUGUCGUACCGCUUGGUGUGGGGGGUUAUUCUGAACAGUGGGUGCGACUGGGGGGUCGGGAUAUGCUUCCUAGGUUGCGGCCACCGACGACCUCUCCUUACCAGGCUCAUGCGGUCAUAACCUCACGCGCAUUGCGUCUUACAAUUGGGGCCUUUUAUCACGCUGUCUCUUUGAUGAGAGACGGGUAGAGUCUGAGCUUUCAUCUUGGGAAGCAGGAUAUGUGGGCAUGGGUCGUUCCUGAGAUCGCUCAUUGCACAUAUCAGGGACGACCCCUACAGUUCCGGGAUAUACCGAUUCUGGAUCAAGCCUAGAGUUUACCCCCUAACCUCUUGGGCGUUGGUCACGAAGGGGCCCCGAUGAUGAAACCUGGAUGCGUAACACCGCGUUUUCUUCUCUUAGUCUCGUCGUUUCCUGGAAGAGAGCUUGCAUUUUUCGUUCGCUCUCCAACUGUCGCCUUUCCAUGGUCUCGCGCCAUUCGAAAUAGCCUUCUUCUUCUCUAGCUGACGAACGACUCUUGGAAGGUGUGGACAUCUUUGUCGUUGAUUGAGCAACUUCCCACAGACAGCGCCAAUGUUGGAGCCUCGCGUCACCCGGGGUCCUCACAGUAGCCAGAUGGAUGCUCCCUUUCAACUGAAGAUGAUUCCUGCCUCAAUCAACUUGCAAAAGACGUCUUGACAAGUUGUCCGGACACACCCUCCGAUGGUUUUGUUAGCCUUCUCUAUGAUAAUCAAUCUUCCCUUUUUAUUAAGUAAGAAAGCUUACCUUCUCUGCUCACAUGAAGGCUCUUUUAUAGUGUCAGAAGCUCUGUCCCUUUUAAUGGUGGGAAGACUUUUUGGCUUGUCAUGAUGGUGCUGAGUCAUCAUUGUCCUAUAAGCGGCUGUCAGAUAUUGUGGAGGGGAUGGCUUGCCGUCAUUCCUGUCCUUUCGCUCUACAGGCGAUGGAAUGCGGGCUGUGACAGGUUGUCUGAGGUGACUCAGUAUGGUCCCGUCGAAAGUGCUUCUGGUAGUGUAGGACAGGAUGGCCCGCGUUUCACGGCCAAGGCUUUUGAUUAAGUUGCUAACGCUAGGUCCGGACAACAUAUCCAGACAAGAGAGGGGGUCGUCCGGACCGUGGGUUUGAGAGUGUCAUACGCCCCUUGAAGGGAAUUCGGAUAGGGAGUUGAUGUGCCACGUGUCCCCUGGAGGGGUGCUGUGCGGGGUUGCCACGUGGGCUUUUAGGGGUGGUCCCUACAUUGUCCAACUCACGUUAAUGUAUUAAAUUAAUAAUCUCAUUAAAUAUAUAAGAUAAUAGUUUUUUCGAAAUUCUUCAAAGUCCAAUAAAAUAUAAAUUAAUAACUAAUGAAAUAUGUGGAAAAAAAACAAAAGAUUUCAUAAUACAAACUUUCUCAAAAUAUACAUUGAAAUUUAUUUCUUUUCUUUGCACCUAAACUAACUCAAUUUUAUCUUUAUUUUUUUGUAAUAUAUAUAACUAAAUUAAUAAAUUAUUGAUUUAUUGAUAAAUUAAUAAUUCCUUUUGAUUCAAGAAUAAUAUUUUAUUUUAUAGGGUUUUUCCUAUAGCUAGGAGUGGCGCAAAGGAGAUAGCAAAUAAUUAUCCAUCAAUGAGUUACUGGCUUACUGCUACCUCCGGGUUAUGUACGCCGCUUUAGUCAAGAUCUUCAUUGCAACCUAUAACAAGCUAAGCUCUGAGUCAAGUCAAUUGGUCCCCCAUCGUAAUUACCCAAAUGAGAUUGUAUGGAAUCACACUUUCAUCUUUGAGUGAAAGAAGGAGCCUUCCUUGACCGAUUCACUCCUUCAGCAAAUGAAUUGCAUAGAAACGAGAUAAAUGUCUUUGAUGCAAAGUAAGGUAAAAAAAAUAGAGGUAGAGUUAGGUGGAGUUUGUUUUUUUUUUUUUUACUUUUUAUUAAAAGUAAUUUAUUUUUAGAAUUUAGGUAGUUUAUUUUUUUCAUAAUUGACAAAAUGGAACCGUAUAGAAAACGGAGGUAAGUCAGGUCAAGUGGGCCCACUUGACCUACCACAUUAAAUUGUUUGGAAAGUGGAAAUUGAAACUGAAAUUGCCUAGAAAGUGAUUUCCCAUUUGCUCAGAAAUUGCCUUGAAACUAGGAACUCAGUUGGAUUUAAAAGCAACAAACCUGGCUGUUGCUUUCUGAUUUUACACCAAAAACUUUCUCAAUAACCCCAUUUUUUAAAAAAAAAUUUGAUGGAAACAUUAUAUAUAUAUAGAUAUUAAUUAAUAAAAAUAAAAUUAUAAUUCAAAUAAUUUUUAUUUCCUUACUUUAUUUAUUUACCCUUUUAUCCCAUAAGGGUGAAAAAAAAGAAAAAAAUAAACUAAAUUGCAAAUAAAAUGAGAAUAGAAAUUUAAUAAAAAUUUCUUACUUUUUAUUGUUGAAUAUAGAAAUUUACAAGUUGAAGAUACAAUUGAUUGUUUUUCUCUUGAUCUCUCUAUUGAUUGCUUUUUGAUUGCUCGCUUGCUUGCUCUGUCAAUUUACAACAAAAAUAUUUACAAAGUUUUCAAAUGUUCAGUUAACAAUAAAUGUAAAGAAGGUAAGAUUUGACUUUUCUUCUUCUUUACCAUCCAUCUAGUGGCUUCUUCCUUAUCUCUUUCUUCUUUUUUAUCACAUGCAGUAUACGUGGCUUUAUUGAUUAUGGACUUCUAUUGUUGUAUUAAAUUCUUGUAGUUGAAGACAUAUUUCGUGCUUCAAUGUUGUCAUUGCUAACAUCAACGUUCCAUUGCAUUUUGUAGAUUAAAAUAACUUUUGUCGUUAAGGUUUUCCCAAAAUGAUGCAUCAUCGCUGAGGUAAGAAGAUGGUUCGAGUAACUCUACAUCGAGUUUGAUUAUAAAAUCUUGUUCUUCAGAAGUAAUGAAAGGUUUCGGAACAAUAAUUUGUUCUAAAGGUUUGUUUCUCUAUAUAGACAUGGUUUUUGUUUCUACAAUGAGAUGAAAUAAUUUAUUUCAGGUUGGUUUAAGAUCAUAAAUUUGAAAGGCUCUAAAGUGAGUAAAAAAUUCUGAAAAUUCAUUCGAAUGAGUCAUUUCCCAUUCUGGUUCUUGUUGAGGGAUGAGUGAUUCUUUAUUGUGUUUUAUAUAAACAUGGUGAUAGGUUAGCACUAUUGAUCAAUUAGUUUGAAAUAAAGGUGGAAUGGUUUCAAAAGAAAUGUUGAUUUGUUUUUUUGUUUUUAAAAUUAGUUGUUUAGCUAAAUUAACUGUAUUUAAUUUUUAAGAAUAAAAUUUAGAAAAAGUAUAAAUCUAAAAUAAUCCUAUAAAAUUAGGAUUGGAUAGAUAAAUUCUAAACAUAAAACAUCAUUGCAUGAAAUAUUAUACAUAAAAUGUGAAAUACAUAUCAUGAAUUUUAUUUUAUAUUUAUAAUAUUAAAAAUAAAAUAGAAUUAACAAAAAUAAGUUAAAAUUAUUUUAUUAAUAUAUAUUAACAAAUAAAAGAUAAAAAUUAUAAUAUAUAUAUAUAUAUAUAUAUAGAAAAGUUAAAAUGAAAAAAGAGAGACAAUUGUCUCUCCCUUUGUCACACAAUGGAGAGACCUUGUCAAUCGGGAUUGAAGUUACACUUUUAAAAAUUACUAGUAGAAAGCACGCGCGAGGCACAUGAAGAUGUACGUAGGUAUAUGAUCGUGAAUGUGCAGAUAAAUGGAAUGAAAGAUAUAAUGUUUGAAAAGGUAGGUCAAGUGGGCCCACCUGACCUACCACAUUAAAUUGUUUGGAUGGUGGAAAAAUGGAACUAUUUAGUGCACCAUUUUUCUUUUUAUUUUCUUUUUGAAAAGAUAGAAAGCAAUACGUUUGUUUUCAAACUAAAAUUGCCUGGAAAGUGAUUUCCCAUUUGCCCGGAAAUUGCCUUGAAACUGGGAACCUAGCUGGAUUUAAAAGCAACAAACCUGGUUGUCAGUUGAUCAGCAACAACUGUGAAAACAAUUAAUGGCUGAAAGUAUUGUCACCGUUUUUCUAGAGAAGUUAACUGACCUGCUUUCCAAGGAAGCAUUUCUACUCAGCAGAGUGGAAGAGCAGGUGAAGCUGUUGAGUAGCGAGCUCGAAUGGAUGCGCCUUUUUCUCAAAGACGCGGAUGCGAAGCGCAGAUAUGAUCCAAGAAUCAAGCUCUGGGUGAGUCAGAUCAGGGACGUAACCUAUGACGCCGAAGAUGUCAUCGACAGGUUCAUGUUCGAGAUGAAUCACCAACAGCAAGGAAGUCUCAAAUGCCUCCAGUUCCUUAAGUUACGAUUUGUUCACAAGCUCGAGUCUCGAAUCAGAGAGAUCAAUAUCAAGAUUGAGAAGAUCAUGGCUAACAAAUCAAGGUACGGUGUCGAAACCUUACCAGCUGCAAGCUCGUCCAACGAAGCUGUGCCACAUAAAGAGAAGAGGGCUCCGAUUGUUGAAGUCAACGUGGUGGGAAUUCAAGAGGAUGCAAAAAGCGUUAAGCAAAAUCUGCUUAAUGGAGAGAUGCGGAGAGCUGUGGUGUCCAUCGUGGGCAUGGGUGGCUUGGGAAAGACUACCCUGGCUAAGAAAGUCUAUAAUGAUAAUGAUGUCCGGCAAUGCUUUGAUUGUCAUGCUUGGAUUUAUGUCUCUCAAGAGUAUACAAUCAGGGAGCUUUUGCUAGGCGUUGCUGUUUGUGUUAGGAUUCUCUCCGAAGAGGAAAGGAGUAAAAUGGACGAGAGCGAGUUGGGGGAUAGGCUUCGUGAUUACCUGACUACCAAGAAGUACUUGAUAGUUUUGGACGAUAUGUGGAGAAAUGAAGCUUGGGAUAGGCUGGGCUUGUAUUUUCCUGACUCGGUGAAUGGCAGCAGGGUGUUGAUCACCUCACGCAAUAAAGAGAUUGGUUUUUAUGCUGAUCCACAAGCCAUUCCCCAUGAACUUUCUUUUCUGACUGAAGAAGAGAGCUGGGAGCUCUUUCUCAAGAAAAUUUUUCUGGCUGGGAGUGCAAAUGCUGUUUGCCCCAGAGAAUUGGAAGAGUUGGGAAAGAAAAUUGUAGCAAAUUGUGGGGGUUUGCCCCUUGCAAUUGUGGUCUUGGGAGGCCUUCUAUCAAGAAAAGAAAAGACACCGCUCUCCUGGCAAAAAGUACUGGACAGCCUGACUUGGCACCUAAAUCAAGGUCCAGACUCAUGUUUGGGGGUCCUUGCUUUAAGCUACAAUGAUAUGCCGUAUUACUUGAAGUCCUGUUUCCUUUACUGUGGUCUUUUCCCAGAAGACUCAGAAAUCUGGACAGAUAAGUUGAUCCGCUUGUGGGUUGCAGAAGGGUUUAUACAAAGAAGAGGAGUAGAAAUAGCGGAAGACGUCGCGGAAGAUCACUUACAGGAAUUGGUACAUAGAAGCAUGAUUCAAGUGGCUGCCAGGAGUUUCGAUGGAAGAGUGAUGUCCUGUCGCAUGCACGAUCUGCUUCGAGACCUUGCCAUUUCUGAGGCCAAAGAUACAAAAUUUUUCGAGGGAUAUGAAAGCAUUGAUUCUACAUCCCCUGUGAGUGUUCGUCGACUAACCAUUCAUCAAGGUAAGAAGACUAAUUCUAAACACUUGCAUACUUCACGUAGUCUCCGAUCUUUCAUUUGUUUUUCUGUAUGCUUCCAAAAAAACAGUUUGAGAUCUUUACACAGGCGUGUCAAAUUGCUCACUGUACUGGACCUAGAAGGCAUGACUAUCAAUACCAUCCCAGAAGGCAUAGGAGAACUUAUCCACCUUAAGUACCUGUGCUUAAGGAGAACCCGCAUAAAAAGGCUUCCAUCGUCCAUAGGUCGUCUUACAAAUCUACAAACCCUAGACUUUCGAAGCACUUUAAUUGAAAUAAUUCCUUCUACCAUUUGGAAAUUGCACCAUUUGAGACAUCUAUACUGUCGUGGAGUGGUUUCAAGCCAGUCAGUGAUAGAUAAGUUCAGGAAUGGCCCUUUGAGUGUUGGUCACCUAACAAACCUCCAAUCGUUAUGUUUAAGAGCAGGCAGUUGGUGCUGUGGUGAAGGCUUGGGAAAAUUAAUUGAGCUUAGAGAACUGACAAUUGUAUGGACCGAAAUCGCACAAACAAAGAACCAGGGAUUUUCCGAGUCAGUAAAAAAGCUAACUGCUCUUCAAUCCUUGCGUUUGUAUACUUUAGGAGAGGAAAUGUUAACCAUGCCGCACCUUAUGCCUUUCUCAGACCACACCUACCUUUACCAUCUAAGUUUAAAUGGAAGGCUCGAAAGGUUCCCUGAUGAAAUUGAAUUCUACCCUCCAAACCUCAUCUCCUUGGAAUUGC